CAAGACAACUUUACGGAGUUGACGAUUGACGGAGCGAAGCGACGUCAAAGCGUUCAUUAAAGUCGAGUUGGCUUAGGGAUACGUUCGUUGGGUAGGGGAGCGUUCUGUAAGCCUGUGAAGGUGUGUCGUGAGGCAUGCUGGAGGUAUCAGAAGUGCGAAUGCUGACAUAAGUAACGAUAAAGCGGGUGAAAAGCCCGCUCGCCGGAAGACCAAGGGUUCCUGUCCAACGUUAAUCGGGGCAGGGUGAGUCGACCCCUAAGGCGAGGCCGAAAGGCGUAGUCGAUGGGAAACGGGUUAAUAUUCCCGUACUUGGUGUUACUGCGAAGGGGGGACGGAGAAGGCUAUGUUGGCCGGGCGACGGUUGUCCCGGUUUAAGCGUGUAGGUGUGUGUUCCAGGUAAAUCCGGUUCACUUUAACACUGAGGCGUGACGACGAGGCACUACGGUGCUGAAGCAACAAAUGCCCUGCUUCCAGGAAAAGCCUCUAAGCAUCAGGUAACACGAAAUCGUACCCCAAACCGACACAGGUGGUCAGGUAGAGAAUACCAAGGCGCUUGAGAGAACUCGGGUGAAGGAACUAGGCAAAAUGGUGCCGUAACUUCGGGAGAAGGCACGCUGACACGUAGGUGAAGUGAUUUACUCAUGGAGCUGAAGUCAGUCGAAGAUACCAGCUGGCUGCAACUGUUUAUUAAAAACACAGCACUGUGCAAACACGAAAGUGGACGUAUACGGUGUGACGCCUGCCCGGUGCCGGAAGGUUAAUUGAUGGGGUCAGCGCAAGCGAAGCUCCUGAUCGAAGCCCCGGUAAACGGCGGCCGUAACUAUAACGGUCCUAAGGUAGCGAAAUUCCUUGUCGGGUAAGUUCCGACCUGCACGAAUGGCGUAAUGAUGGCCAGGCUGUCUCCACCCGAGACUCAGUGAAAUUGAACUCGCUGUGAAGAUGCAGUGUACCCGCGGCAAGACGGAAAGACCCCGUGAACCUUUACUAUAGCUUGACACUGAACAUUGAGCCUUGAUGUGUAGGAUAGGUGGGAGGCUUUGAAGUGUGGACGCCAGUCUGCAUGGAGCCGACCUUGAAAUACCACCCUUUAAUGUUUGAUGUUCUAACGUGGACCCGUAAUCCGGGUUGCGGACAGUGUCUGGUGGGUAGUUUGACUGGGGCGGUCUCCUCCUAAAGAGUAACGGAGGAGCACGAAGGUUGGCUAAUCCUGGUCGGACAUCAGGAGGUUAGUGCAAUGGCAUAAGCCAGCUUGACUGCGAGCGUGACGGCGCGAGCAGGUGCGAAAGCAGGUCAUAGUGAUCCGGUGGUUCUGAAUGGAAGGGCCAUCGCUCAACGGAUAAAAGGUACUCCGGGGAUAACAGGCUGAUACCGCCCAAGAGUUCAUAUCGACGGCGGUGUUUGGCACCUCGAUGUCGGCUCAUCACAUCCUGGGGCUGAAGUAGGUCCCAAGGGUAUGGCUGUUCGCCAUUUAAAGUGGUACGCGAGCUGGGUUUAGAACGUCGUGAGACAGUUCGGUCCCUAUCUGCCGUGGGCGCUGGAGAACUGAGGGGGGCUGCUCCUAGUACGAGAGGACCGGAGUGGACGCAUCACUGGUGUUCGGGUUGUCAUGCCAAUGGCACUGCCCGGUAGCUAAAUGCGGAAGAGAUAAGUGCUGAAAGCAUCUAAGCACGAAACUUGCCCCGAGAUGAGUUCUCCCUGAGACUUAGAGUCUCCUGAAGGAACGUUGAAGACGACGACGUUGAUAGGCC
rnacentral:rRNA from 1 species